GAAGGCGCUUCACUGUGCCUUAAUGAAGGCGUUAAUUGUGCCUCUUUAUUGAGGGUGUAAUUUGUGCUCCAUAAUUGAUGGAGUUAAAUGUGCCUUAUUUGAGGUGUUAAUUGGCCUUAAUUGAGGACGUUAAUUGUGUCUUAAUUAAGGGCGUUAAUAUUUUAUUAAUUGUACCUUAAUUAAGAGCUUAAUUGUCUCAAUUAUGAGUUAUCAUAAUUGUGGGAAUUUUUUGAUCAUCUCAUGCAAUAUACACGUGAUUUUAAUAUUAAUUAAUUAUUGGAUAUAUUAUCUUUUAUUUUUAUAAUAUAUAUAAUGUGUUAUAUAUGUCGACUUAUAUUAUUCUUGUUUUCUUUCUUCUAUUCUCAGGAUUCUUGGAAGAAGACGGGUUUUUCUUUUCGGACAUUAAAGUUUUAUUGUCUAAAUUUCCCCGGUCAUCUUGCAUGUCCGACGGUUAGAUAAUAAGCUUUCUUGAAUGAAAGAAUUAUCACGGUGAACUGCUGUUUCAUAUUGUUGAGAUUCAUUCUCAUUUUCAUAAAAAAAAAAAAAAAAAAAAAAAAAAAAAAAAAAAAAAAAAAAAAAAAAAAAAAAAAAAAAAAAAAAAAAAAAAAAAAAAAAAAAGAAG
rnacentral:lncRNA from 1 species